rnacentral:tRNA from 1 species
GUCUGUAUAGAUUAUUUAAAUUGUAAGGCUGUUAACCUUGAGAUGAUUCUAUCUACAGGCG